rnacentral:rRNA from 1 species
CGCACAGAUGGCCUGCACUUUCUGCAGCAGCUCUGAUAUAUCUGGGUAUUCGCCAUGGCAUCACAAGGGCCACCCAGAACUGGCUCAACUCCCAUCAAGCCAAAGGCGACGACGCAUUCGUAUGUCAAUCCAUAUCAACUUUCGAUGCCAUUGACUGCACCUACCAUGGUGACCACGGGUAACAGGGAAUCAGGGUUCGAUUCCGUACAGGGACCCUGACAAAUGGCUACCACAUGCAAGGAAGGCAGCAGGCGGGCAAAUGACCCACUCCCGACGCGGGAAGGUAGUGACG